UCCUGGCUCUCAGACAGCUGGCUCAGUAGAGGCCAAAGAAAGACACAGAGGAAAAAUGAAAUAUUCUGUCUCAGGCAAACAGAAAGAAAAUAAGUACAAGCCACAGUCCACAAAAAGCUAUCACAGUGCAUUCAGAGAACUACUUGUCUUGAAAUGGAAAAGACAAUUCUAAUUUCAGGGAACAGGCAGCUAUGAAUGGGUAACACCUAUCAAGGGUUAUCAAUCCAACAACGUUUCUGUCACCUCCCUUGGUGCAAUGGAUCCGUUCCACUUCCAUAUCAGCAUGCCAGCAUUAAAAUGAUGUCAGAGGGCUUGAAUAUCAUUUGUUGUUGUCCCGCUCCAGAUAGAUGUACAGAGAAGUCAUCUUCUGCAAACGUUUCUCUGCUGGGUAGGAAAACAUGCAAGCAGAUCGUCAAUGUAUUGGGAAGACAUCUCCACAUGUAUGUGAAUAAACUCUAGGCUCUUGUUUUUCCUAUUCUGUAACAGAAUUUUGAUUUUGCUUUAAUAAUUUCCUUUCCUUUGCAUGUUUUUCUGACUUCUGUGCAAGUGUACUGUUUGCCAUAAAUUUUGGCUGCCAUUGGAAUUAUUCCUAUUAACAACUGUUUCUGUUUCCCUACCCCACUUUUUGUUUAUUAAUUUUCUAUUAAUUCAUACGCAAGAUGUCAAGACGUAAAGAAAACUCCACUCUAGAUUUCAAGUGUUUUAAUUCAUAUUUUUAAUCCACACACUAUGUUUUUCCUUAAAAAUAUUAUU